rnacentral:lncRNA from 1 species
AGUGCCAUUUCAAGAAAACAUGAAUAAUAUCACAUAUUGGUAAACAAAGUUCGAGAUAUUUUAAAAUAUUAAUUCUGAUGAACGAUCCAAAUUUUUAAAUUAAUUAUUUUUUAAUCAAUCAAAAAUUAUGCUCUAACGUUCUUUAGUAUUUGUCUUUGAAUUAGUAGUCGGUUCAAUGACUUUUAAGAUAUUUUGACUUCAAGCUUUGCAAUACCUAUCAAACUAGUAGUCUUUUUUUUACAUAAUUCUAUGCAUGGUUAUAUGGUAUGUGAUAUCUGUUGGUACACUAAACCGAUCCCAAGCUACGUGGCAUCAUCGUACG